rnacentral:misc_RNA from 1 species
UUACCGAGUUAGGGUGUCACUCUUUUGCGCCCGACCUCCAACCCUUUGUCUACUUAACCAAACGUUGCUUCGGCAGGCCCGCCGGACUGGCUUAACAGCGGUCCGGCCGCCGGGGGUCGAGAGACCCCGGGCCCGCGCCUGUCGAUGGCCCCCCUAAAACUACUGCCGAAACGUGUCGUCUGAGUCUUUUAUGAUUUAAAAAUCAAAAACAAAACUUUCAACAACGGAUCUCUUGGUUCUGGCAUCGAUGAAGAACGCAGCGAAAUGCGAUAAGUAAUGCGAAUUGCAGAAUCCGUGAGUCAUCGAAUCUUUGAACGCACAUUGCGCCCUUUGGUAUUCCGAAGGGCAUGCCUGUUCGAGCGUCAUUAUCACCCCUCAAGCUCGGCUUGUUGUUGGUCGCGGCGGCCACUUCCCCGGCCCGCCCGUCCCAAAGAUAAUGACGGCGUCUGUGAGGACUCCUGUACACUGAGCUUUCGGGCACGUACAUGGCUAGAAGUCCAGACCCGGUCUCCCGGUCGCCCCCUUCAUCGGGGGAGGCCACCCCCCUUUUUAUCAAGGUUGACCUCGGAUCAGGUAGGAAUACCCGCUGAACUUAAGCAUAUCAAUAA